rnacentral:tRNA from 1 species
UCCCUGGUGGUCCAGGGGCUAAGACUCUGUGCUCCCAAUGCAGGGAGCCCAGGUUCAAUCCCUGCUCAGGGAA